UUCUGUAAUAGCUCUUCUCCACUCCCAUACUCACCAAUUGUGACAACAUAAAAAAGAGUGGGAGACCUGCAGACUUACAAAAGACAGAGGGGCAUUGACCCCUGGGUUGACAAAUAAAAUCAAAAGGGCUUUCAGGAUUGAGUCUGAGGUGAGAUACUGGAAAGUGGGUUAUGUAUCCUGGAAACCAAAACAAAAUAAGGUGGCUAAGGCCACUAGAUGUGGAGCCUGGAAGUAGGGAGAUGGAGAGAACAAGGGAUGAGAGGAUGGUAUUCUGGGGAAACACCUGGACCAGGUAUGUUAAGGGUCAAGGUAACCCUAACCAUAUGAAAGACAGCACAGUAAGUGGGGGCCUAGCAGACUGAAAGGCAGAAGUUGGCCAGAUUCCUCCCUCUGAUCACUGGAGCUGAACUGAAGCCUUUCUUCUCCAGUGGUAGAGUUCCUGGCCUGUGGAAGCUGUAUGCAGUUGCCCCUGGACCAUACCUGGGAAGACAGGGGUGAAACACCUCCUUGCUCUGGGUCGGCUUGAAUUCCAGAACACAAGUUUCCCAAACACCUGGGCUUCUGGCUUUGCCUCCUGCUCCCUCUUCUCUCCCCACCUUCGCUGUGCCAGGUCCCUCCCUCCGCGUUUGGCUUUCUGAAAUACAGCCUCCCUUACCCCACUGCGCCUCUGUGAUUUACUGCGUGUGAGCAUCACCGCAGAGUGAGUAAGACAUCCUUCAUUUUCAUACCUGACACAUGAGGAGCCAUAAAGUAAGUCUCCGAAGUCAGACUCAAGGGCCUCUUGAUUAAGAGUUAAAUUGCAGAUAUGAUUUACUCAAUUUGAGCUCGGGGAAACAAGGGAUGUUGAAGAUAAUGUGAUUGGCAAACGCACGUUUCCACCCCUCUGGAGUGCACAGGUACCUGAGGGACCCCUGUGGAGCUGUCGGGAGUCCUGAUUGGGGUGUGGUUUGGGGAGGAGCCUCUCUGUGAGCGACUGGCUCACCUGGGUCUGUUUCACAGACCUGUGAGUUGGAAAACUCUUCUGAUAUCAGUUUGAAUUAAGUCAAGUCAGCGGGAUAAUGGGUAAGUCAAAGGUGCGGGGGCGGAGGGGCUCUUGGAAGGAACAGGAGUUUAGAGACCAGAAUUCUGAUCUUGAUUUUGCCACUUAGGAAUUGUGGGAAUUGCACACAAGGACAUACCAAUGGGGCUCAGGUUCUUUACUAGAAAAUGGGUUGGCAGUGAAUUACAGAAAGAUCCUUUGGGCCGACGAAUGGGAGAAUGAGGGCAGGCAAUCUAGUAAGUUUAGAAAACAUUUUUGAUAAACUUUACCAUGAAGGGCAGUGGAGAAUGAGCCAGGAGAUGGAAGACAAGGAGUUGAGAUAGGGUAUCUUUGCAAUGCAAGGUAAUAGAACACUUCAUCAAAAGGUAAAGGAGAGUCGUAGUAAUAACAUCCUUGAGUGAGGAAGGGGAGCGAGUGUACAGUUCAAGUGGCCUUUGAUAGGAUCUAGGGCAAUUCAUCCCCUGUAACUGGACAGGAGGCAGAGAACGUGGCUGGACUAAAAUGCCAGGCGACGGCUGGAUAGGAUGCUGGGAGAGGGAGGUUGUUCUCUCACGUGAUCUUUCAUUUGCUCAAAGAAUCACUAGAUGCUGCCACCAGCCCAUGUAGCAGGGAUGCAUUUUGGAGGUUUGACAAGAAAGAAGUUGUGAUAACAUCUCAGAAAACGAGAACGUGAAAUUCCUAGGGUCCUGGGGCAGGGUGUUGGUUAGUGUUGAUUUGAGAUACGUGGUCACAUGUUGAAAGGGUGAUGAUUUAGCAUGAUUCUGGGAUUUCUCUUCCAGCAGCGUUUGGUUUCUUGGGUGUGGACACAGAGGAGGUGGGUGAUUGUCUUCAAUGGUGGAUGGGCUCUGAUGGCGGAGUGAGAGAUGCAGCGAGAGAUGGGCAGAAGAGGUGUUUGUAAAGAGGCCAAAAGAGCAGGGGACACAUGGAAACUAAGCUGCAUAAGGAGGGAAGUGAGAACUUGAGAAAAGUGAAAACUUGAGAUCAAGAAAAAAAUGGUGGGAUUUGUGGAUUUAAUGGAAUUAAUAAAAUUGUGGGCUGGAGUUCUGAAGGAAGUGUGCUAGAAGAUGGUGGUCAGGGAAGCAUAUCUUUGUAUAUAAAUUUGAACUUUUUUUAUGAUUUAUUUUGCAAAUUGAAGAUGGGUACUUGUGAGCCUAAAGACACAGGUCUCCAGUCCUGUUGAGGUACAACCAGCAAUGCUCCUUCCUUCUCUUGGUUUUAUCGUCUUUACAUACUUCUGGUGCAUCAGUGGAUACAUUAGUAUAGCUCAUUGCAAAUCAAAGUCAGAUCACAUGUCAUCUUCACCAAAUCUGGCAAUGGUACUUGCUGCCAUGUAUGUGCAUUCUUAAAAGGUUUAUUUUUGUUGGAUUAAGUGGAGAACCAGUGAUUUUCUCCAUGCUCUCUUUAUGAUUCCCUGGUCUAUACCACGUUAGUGAAGGCUGUGUCUUAGUUGUUGAUAACCCAAGCCCAGUGAGUCCCAGUAGGCAUAGAUGGACUCAUUGUAGAUAAUGAGUGUUGGCACCUCAUCAGGGCAGAGAGAGCCUGUGAUCUAAACAACAGCUCUGAUAGGAAGGGCCGGAGGGCAUGUAGAUUGUUCCCACUGUACAGAUGAGGUCACAGUCCUGGAGAGGUUAAUUCCUGCCCCUCCUGCUGUCUUCCCCACCUUAGAAAAAGUACCACUAUUCACUUAGUUGCCCAAGAAGACUGAAACCUCGAAGUCACUCUUGGUCCCCCUGCCCGCCCACCCCCCCAUCCCUCAUCUAUGUCAUCUUUUCCACAAAUCAGUUACUGUCCUGAGUGAAUAAAUGAGGGAAGGAAGGCAGGAGUUAUACAGCUUCAGUUCAGCUCUCGCUGAGCACCCACCUAGGGCUCCUGGAGUGGAGAAAACAUCCCCGUCUCACUUCUUUCCAUCCCGGCUUCCAAAUGAGAGACUACUUCACUUUAAGAAUUAUACAGGGCUAAAUAAAUGUUUCAGGAUGAGCUUGUACAUUUACAUCGCAAAAUGCUUAUAAACUUUAAAAUACGGUAAUUACACUUGUUUAUGAAUUCCAAGUUAUUAAAAGAGCAUGAAUUCGCAGGCAGCACAGAAUUCACUCUACGAGUAUCUUUGGGGUGAUUAUCAAUACAUCUAUUGAUACUCCCUACUUGAAAUACCACAUACACAUCUUAAAUCUUAAUUAUUAUAAAAAAAUACACCAAAAUGGUAUUGAUAUAAAUACACAUGAUUAACCAGUACAGGAUUAAGCAAAUAACUUGCAGCAAACUAAGUUGAUAAUUAUGGACUAAUUAUAAAAUUGUAAUUUAAGUAGCGGCAACUGAAAAUCAUGAUUAACUCAAGACAGUAUAGAACGAACACACACACACACACACACACACACACAGAUGUCCUUUCUUAAAAUUGUUGAGUUGGAAGGAAGAGUAUGGAUCACAGGCUCUGUAUGUCUGUGUAUUCUGAAUUUUCCAAAAGUGGACACUGUGAUAUUUCUGUGACUGCCUUGACGGGCAGGGGAAAUGAUGUUUUGGGACCUAGAAGCUGAGGUCAUAAAAGGUGAUGUGAGCCUCUCUCUCUCUCAAGAUUCUUGCCAUUGUCUUUUAACCCCCUAAGUAUUGGAGUAAUUUGGAACACAUGCAUAUUAGAACUUUUGCAGUGCUGACCUGGUUUCAAUGGCAAACAAGUCUCCUAACAGAGCACUGAACUAGAAUCCUUGGCAAGCUUCAAUAAUGCACUGAUUUUAGUUUAUGAGUGACUUGUGUCAAUCAUAAAAAAUUCUCUUCAGAGGUUAGUAUCUAGAAAAUAGGCUCCACAUAUACAUAAAAAUGAAUGUCUGAGGAACUGAAGGCUAUUUUCCAGGAAAAACUACAGAAAGGAUUUAUCAUUUUUGCAUUUGCUUAUAGUCCCUUGGAAGAAUCCUAUGGGCCACCGGUAGGCUGUGGACAAUUGAUUGUGAAGCAGCAGUCAGUAUUGAUAACUCUCAAAUCAAGACCCCUACCUUUGGCUUCUAUCAUCAGAUAUCCAUUCAUGCAAUCUCUACAAUCACUCCUUUCCCACACUUUCCACCAUACUCAUUUUUUUUAAGAGAAGGCACUUCAAGAGGUCAUUUAUUUCUAGCUGCUUGAGUAAGAGUAAUAAAAAGUUUAUAUACACCUUAGAGUUUUCCUUUAUCUCAUAGUUCACAGACCCAGAUUUUUUUCUUUGUUUUAGUUAAGUCACUGAUUAUAGAAUUAUGUUUUAGAGCUUUACUUUUCAUACAAACUCAGCAUCAAAAAAUUUAGUUGACUAUUGCUAUCUUGUUGUGCAAACAGUGCAACCCAUGAGGGCCUAAUCUCCAAAAAUAUAUGAACAGCUCCUACAACUCAACACCCAAAAAAACAAACAACCCAAUCAAAAAAAUGGGCAGAAAGAGUUCCCGUGGUGGAGCAGCGGAAAUGAAUCCGACUAGGAACCAUGAGGUUGCGGGUUCAAUCCCUGGCCUUGCUCAGUGGGUAAAGGAUCCUGCGUUGCUGUGAGCUGUGGUGUAGGUUGCAGACGCAGCUCAGAUCCCGCAUUGCUGUGGCUCUGGUGUAGGCCGGUGGCUACAGCUCCGAUUCAACCCCUAGCCUAGGAACCUCCAUAUGCUGUGGGUGCAGCCCUAAAAAGACAAAAGAAAAAAAAAAAAAAAAAAAAAAAAAAAAAA
ensembl:lncRNA